GACGAACGCUGGCGGCGUGCUUAACACAUGCAAGUCGAACGGAAAGGCCCUGCUUUUGUGGGGUGCUCGAGUGGCGAACGGGUGAGUAACACGUGAGUAACCUGCCCUUGACUUUGGGAUAACUUCAGGAAACUGGGGCUAAUACCGGAUAGGAGCUCUUGCUGCAUGGUGGGGGUUGGAAAGUUUCGGCGGUUGGGGAUGGACUCGCGGCUUAUCAGCUUGUUGGUGGGGUAGUGGCUUACCAAGGCUUUGACGGGUAGCCGGCCUGAGAGGGUGACCGGCCACAUUGGGACUGAGAUACGGCCCAGACUCCUACGGGAGGCAGCAGUGGGGAAUAUUGCACAAUGGGCGGAAGCCUGAUGCAGCAGCGCCGCGUGCGGGAUGACGGCCUUCGGGUUGUAAACCGCUUUCGCCUGUGACGAAGCGUGAGUGACGGUAAUGGGUAAAGAAGCACCGGCUAACUACGUG
rnacentral:rRNA from 1 species